rnacentral:rRNA from 1 species
CCUACGGGUGGCAGCAGUGAGGAAUAUUGGUCAAUGGGCGAGAGCCUGAACCAGCCAAGUCGCGUGAAGGAUGACGGCCCUAGGGGUUUUAAACUUCUUUUGUAGGGGAGUAAAAAGGUGGUAGCAGACUCUGAAGCAUGGGCUAUAUACGUACCAGCAGCCCCAGUACCAUGGAGGGGGCGAGGGUUAUCCGGAUUUACUGGGUGUAAGGGGAGCGUAGGCGGCAAGGUAAGGCAGAAGUGAAAGGGUAGGGCUCAACCCUGGAAUUGCGGUUGAAACUGGGGUGCUAGAGUGCAGGAGAGGUAAGCGGAAUUCGUGGUGUAGCGGUGAAAUGCGUAGAUAUCACGAAGAACUCCGAUUGCGAAGGCAGCUUACUGGACUGCAACUGACGCUGAGGCUCGAAAGCGUGGGUAUCAAACAGGAUUAGAUACCCGGGUAGUC